GCGGGUAUAGUAUAGCGGUUAUUAUGCGAGUUUUCCAAACUUGAGAUGGGGGUUCGACUCCCCCUACCCGCUCCA
rnacentral:tRNA from 1 species